rnacentral:rRNA from 1 species
GAUGAACGCUGGCGGCGUGCCUAAUACAUGCAAGUCGAGCGAAGCGGGGACGGGUGAGUAACACGUGGAUAACCUCCUAUAAGACUGGGGUAACCUCGGGAAACCGGAGCUAAUCCGGAUACUUAUAGAUGGUUCUGGAGUGCAUUAGCUAGUUGGUAAGGUAACGGCUGACAAAGGCAACGACGCAUAGCCGACCUGAGAGGGUGAUCGGCCAAACUGGAACGGAGACACGGUCCAGACUCCUACGGGAGGCAGCAGUAGGGAAUCUGGCGCAAUGGGCGAAAGCCUGACGGAGCAACGCCGCGUGAGUGAUGAAGGUCUUCGGAUCGUAAAACUCUGUUAUUAGGGAAGCGGUACCUGAUCAGAAAGCCACGGCUAACUACGUGCCAGCAGCCGCGGUAAUUC